UACAGAGGGGGCGAGCGUUGUUCGGAAUUACUGGGCGUAAAGCGUGCGCAGGCGGCGCGUUAAGACAGGUGUGAAAGCCCCGAGCUUAACUUGGGAAUUGCGCUUGUGACUGGCGAGCUGGAGUGUGGCAGAGGGAGGUGGAAUUCCACGUGUAGCAGUGAAAUGCGUAGAGAUGUGGAGGAACACCGAUGGCGAAGGCAGCCUCCUGGGCCAGCACUGACGCUCAUGCACGAAAGCGUGGGGAGCAAACAGG
rnacentral:rRNA from 1 species